rnacentral:rRNA from 1 species
AUUGAACGCUGGCGGCAGGCCUAACACAUGCAAGUCGAACGGUAACAGGAAGAAGCUUGCUUCUUUGCUGACGAGUGGCGGACGGGUGAGUAAUGUCUGGGAAACUGCCUGAUGGAGGGGAUAACUACUGGAAACGGUAGCUAAUACCGCAUAACGUCGCAAGACCAAAGAGGGGGACCUUCGGGCAUCUUGCCAUCGGAUAUGCCCAGAUGGGAUUAGCUAGUAGGUGGGGUAACGGCUCACCUAGGCGACGAGCCCUAGCUGGUCUGAGAGGUUGACCAGCCACACUGGAACUGAGACACGGUCCAGACUCCUACGGGAGGCAGCAGUGGGGAAUAUUGCACAAUGUGCGCAAGCCUGAUGCAGCCAUGCCGCGUGUAUGAAGAAGGCCUUCGGGUUGUAAAGUACUUUCAGCGGGGAGGAAGGGAGUAAAGUUAAUACCUUUACUCAUUGACGUUACCCGCAGAAGAAGCACCGGCUAACUCCGU